rnacentral:tRNA from 1 species
GGAGGCGUCAGGGUUCCUGGUGGGCCCCCCGGUCUUCAACACCGGUGAGACCGAGCACCUCGGUCUGGCGGGUUCGAUUCCCGUCCGUCUCCGCCA